rnacentral:rRNA from 1 species
UACGUAGGGGGCUAGCGUUAUCCGGAAUUACUGGGCGUAAAGGGUGCGUAGGUGGUUUCUUAAGUCAGAGGUGAAAGGCUACGGCUCAACCGUAGUAAGCCUUUGAAACUGAGAAACUUGAGUGCAGGAGAGGAGAGUGGAAUUCCUAGUGUAGCGGUGAAAUGCGUAGAUAUUAGGAGGAACACCAGUUGCGAAGGCGGCUUACUGGGCUGGCCCUGACGCUGAGGCGCGAAAGCGUGGGGAGCAAACAGGAUUAGAUACCCUGGUAGUCCCUGAG